rnacentral:lncRNA from 1 species
UCUUCAUGCUUGAUAAUAUUUGACCAGCUGAUUUGGUGAAUUCCAUUGAACCUCCAAAAGUUUUUUGCAAAGCUUGGUUGCUUAAUUUUUCUAACAAUAAGCAAAUGUUAUUUAUACGUAAAGGUUGAUUAACUAAUUAAUAAAGGUUGUCAUUAAUAAAGGGUGAAUUCCAUCAUAUACACGUAAAGAAGAGAGAGUACAUUAAAGAAAUUGUUAUUUAUACUAAUUAAUAAAGGUUGAUUAACUUACCUUUAAUUUCUUCGUCAUUUGGGG